rnacentral:rRNA from 1 species
UACGGAGGGUGCAAGCGUUUAUCCGGAUUCACUGGGUUUAAAGGGUGCGUAGGUGGGUUUGUAAGUCAGUGGUGAAAUCUCCGUGCUUAACAUGGAAACUGCCAUUGAUACUAUAGAUCUUGAAUUUUCUGGAGGAUAGCGGAAUAUGUCAUGUAGCGGUGAAAUGCUUAGAUAUGACAUAGAACACCAAUUGCGAAGGCAGCUAUCUACAGGGAUAUUGACACUGAGGCACGAAAGCGUGGGGAUCAAACAGG